rnacentral:misc_RNA from 1 species
GCUAAUACCACCGGAGUCUCCCUCGAAAUUAACAUCUCCUACUUGGAUGCUGCUUAUCACGAUGAGGAGAUCGAGAUUGACAGCAAAGUUUUGCGAAUGGGAAAGACCAUUGCAGUAGUUAAUGUUGAAUUGAGGAGAAAAAGCAAUGGUAAAAUUAUAGCUCAGGGUCGCCACACCAAGUACCUUGCCUUCUCAAGCAAGUUGUAGUUAUGAACAUCUUUCAAUACUGGACCUUAUAUUGCCAACCAUUUUCCUCUGCUUCGUGAAUUGACAUUGCAAAUUACUUUUUG